GCCCCGGUGGUGAAACCGGUAGACACACCGCGUUCAGAGUGCGGCGCCGAAAGGCAUGCCUGUUCGAUGCAGGCCUGGGGCA